AUAACCUCCUACUCACUAUAGUCAAAAUUAUGAGAAGGGGUUUUCCCCUAUAUAAAUAACUAUGGCUACGGAUAUUCGUUAGCUAGACACAAUAUUUUAACUGCCUUUGAGAUAAGAUUAACUAACAUUGCUCUCUUUUUGUUAUCGUUCCUUUGUAUGAAAUAAGAUAUUAAUGUGUGGUUAUUAUAGACAAUACAUCUGGUUUGACUUUGUAUUCAACCGGGUUAAUGCACUAAUAAUAGUACAACAAUAAAACUGUAGACUAUAAUAUGAAGCUGAAAUAAUGUUCCCAUGGAUUUUCCAGGCGACAAAAUUAAACUAUUCAACAUUUUAUUUACACCAGAAAUAGUUUAUUCUAAGCAGAGAUGGAGGGAUACUGAUCUCGCGAUAUGUCUUCAUUGGAUACAAUAAUGUUUACACUGGAUACAGGAAGCAACAACGAGUUAGACCGUUUAAACUCCUAGGUGUCUUCAUGGAAGAAUCCGAAUGUCCACUCUCGGUGUGGAAUGUUAUCGUGGAGCAAGUCCCGGCGCCAGAGCUCCCAGACAUCCGGGGCUUGUUUGGAGAUGCUUUGAUUGACAUGUACACAGAGAUUCAUACUGAGGUCACUAUGUGGCAGCAGAUUUGGCAGACGGUGCGCCAUAAACUGGGUAACAGGCUGAAGACACCUCACUCCCCCCUGGCUGACCCCCUGCCAUCAAGGAGCUGCUGAAAGCUGAGAUCCAACUGCUGCUGGCGACCGUGAGGGAGAGAGCAGCCUUGGAGGGCAGAUCAGUUCUGACUGAAGAAUGCGAGGUGCUGAAAAGCCAAGUGGACUUUCUGCAGGAGAGUGUAGAACAGGAACACCGGACAUGGUGUGAUGUCACUGAGGCUCCAGAGCCAACUGUAACAGAGCUGAAGGAAGAGAGGAGAGCCAUCCAGUUGGAUCUGAAGAAGCAGAGCUGAAAAAAACUGAUGUUUUGGUGGUGUCGGAGGUAACUGCGUUGGGAGUCGUCAAAUUGGUGAGCAGCUCCUCUUGCAGUCAUUGUCUUGAAGCCACACCCUUCCCACUCGCGUUAAAAGUUUAGAAUGAGAAAGUGUAGUCUAUAUACAGUUGAAGUCGGAAGUUUACAUACACCUUAGCCAAAUACAUUUAAACUCCAUUUUUCACAAUUCCUGACAUUUAAUCCUCGUAAAAAUUCCCUACCUUAGGUCA